CCUACGGGUGGCAGCAGUGAGGAAUAUUGGUCAAUGGGCGCGAGCCUGAACCAGCCAAGUCGCGUGAAGGAUGACUGCCCUAUGGGUUGUAAACUUCUUUUAUCAAAGAAUAAAGUGAGCCACGUGUACCUUGUUGUAUGUUCUUUCUGAAUAAGGAUCGGCUAACUCCGUGCCCGCAGCCGCGGUAAUACGGAGGAUCCGAGCGUUAUCCCGAUUUAUUGGGUUUAAAGGGGGCGUAGAGGGGAUGUUAAGUCAGUUGUGAAAGUUUGCGGCUCAACCGUAACAUUGCAGUUGAUACUGGCAUCCUUGAGUACAGUUGAGGUAGGCGGAAUGCGUGGUGUAGCGGUGAAAUGCUUAGAGAUCACGCAGAACUCCGAUUGCGAAGGCAGCCUACUAGACUGCCACUGACAUUGAUGCUCGAAAGUGUGGGUAUCAAACAGGAUUAGAUACCCGGGUAGUC
rnacentral:rRNA from 1 species